CAGCUGAACGUGAGCCAGGGUGUGUGCCAGGUGGCCAAGAAGACCAAGGACACCCUGGCCUGCAUCAGCAACAGUGUGGCCAGCAGGACCAGGGCUGGGAUUGUUCUUCUGUACUGGGCUCUGCUGAAGGCCACAACUCAUGUUCUCUAUCCAGAGCACUUCUUGGAAACAAAGGAAGUGAAACCUUCAACUGACUCCUGUCUGUGUAAAGAGUUCUCCAUGCCUGACACUGUCUGGUGGGUACAGCUGAUGCUGCCCUUCAUGGCCUCCACACUGCAGUGCAGAGCCCAGUCUGAGGUACAAAACUACUUUUGUGAUGGUUGCUGUUCCUCCCAUGCAACUGAACAGAGAAAGGAUGGUCUAAAAUGAGAUCUCUACAUCAAAAGAACAAAACUCCAAAAGGACUUUUUUAAGAACGGCAACAAAUCACCAAAGGAAGAUAAAAACUCUUUUAACUCUGCAAACUUGAUGUCUUUCUGGCACUUUUUACUCGGAUGUCAUUUCACAAGAUAUUUGGAAGAAAACAUGUUUUCAAGUGGCAAAAUAAACU